UGGGCUGGCUCCAGGCCCAGGGAGGGUCUCCUGCUUCACAACUUCCCUUUAGUGUUUUGUUAACACCCGAGUUAAACUACUACACCAACUGCAGCUGCUUGUAAACAUGCCUCUCUGUUCUAGGGCUUCAGCCCUAAUUUGCUCAUUUCUGGUUUCCUCAGCACCAAUCUCUCAGUGUGAUGAGGGGGCGCUCCCCAGAUUUUAUUACAUUGUGUGAAUUAGAUUUCAUUUUUAGCAUGCUCCUGAGCAUCUCCUGGAAAGAUAAUGGAAGCACAGAAUACAAAUGCCAGCAGAAGCCAGAACACUCUGUCUCCAGCUGCAAUGAUGGCUGCAACUUCUCGGUGUGUUUCUAUGAGCUAUGAGGAGACCUGGAGGCCCCUUGAAGAAUCCCAGGUGGACAUCAUUGAGGCUCUCCAAUCAAGCUGUGCUGGAAGAUCUCCCCAUGGGCUUCUCACAUCUUAAAAAAACAUUAUUUUCUGUACCCUGACCAGGGAAGGCAACACUAACAACGUGAGAUCAGGAGGGCCAAGGUGAACACAGACUGUGGAAGUGGGAGGCAAGACUCUGAUUUCCACAGAAAGUCCUUCGCCAGGAUCAAAACUCUGCAAACCUAGCUUCAUGGUCUCAUCUCCAGUGUGUUCCAGAGUCUGCAGCCAGUCCUUCAAGGCCUGCUCUCUGCAGACAUCAAGACAUGGAUCAGAAAACCAAGGCUCAUGGAGUUGAUGGAAUCUUCCCAGGGCCCCAGGGCUAGCAAGAGUAGGAGAGGAGACACAGGCCGCUUGUCUGACUCCAGAACCUUGUCUUCCAUCAGGUUAACGGCACAGCCUCAGAUGGGCAAAUCUGUGAGGGGGGUUUCGAGACAGGGUUUCUCUGUAG